UUAAUCUUGAUGAUCUCAAGGUCUAGUUUGAAUCUGGGUCAUGUAGGGUCAGAAAUUAGGUCACCAGGUCAAAUCAAAGGAAAAGCUAGUUAACACUCAAGAGGCCACAUUUAUGACCAUAUCUUAAUGAAACUUGGUCAGCAUGUUAAUCUUAAUGAUUCCUAUGUCAGGUGAGCAAUACAAGGCCUUCAUGGCCCUCUUGUUUAUAAAAGUUACCGUUUUCAGCAAGGUUUAUAAAUGCUUACAGCUUGCAAAAGCUAUUUCAGUCCUAUAUUUCUCAAUUUAAAAUAAAUGGAUGACUGUUGUUUAAAUAUGUUAUGGUAUAUUUCAGUGACGUGUGGGUCUUCUAUGAGAAUAUGGUAGUUACUAUGGUUCAAAGAUGCUACCCUUCAGUCACUGAGCUUCAAGAAACCAAACCUAAGGGAUACUGUCUCACCUGAAGAAGUUGCCAUCUGUUUGUCCAGUUUGUCAGUGGUUCUUUUUACUCCCGAGACUGAACUGCCCAAACCAGAUCAUAUAGAGACAUACCGGGUAUCUAUCAGGGGAAAUGAAGCUCCACACUGGAAAGGAGAGGUGUCCUAAACUGAGUAAGAUGGCUUUACUUCUCCUGUCACUACCGCACUGCAAUGCUGAUCCAGAGCCGUCCUUCAGCAUACUGAGGAAGAUACAAACUGACAGCAGGAACAACCUAGCUCUGGAAACCAUUCAGAACUUAAUGUCUGUGAAAAUGAAAAAUCACUCUAUAUGUUAACAUUCUCUUCAUCUCAUGAACUUAUUAGAGAGGGAAAGUCAGCGUGUAAUGUAUACACUCGUAAGUGAAGACGGCAUAAAUGAUGUGUUACUUGUUGAAAUACGAAACUGUGCUUUCAGUAUUUUUAUAAAGUGUCUAUGGUUAAGUGGAGACAACUCUAGUGAUUUGUAUUCAUUGUGAUAUCUUGAUAAGAGGACAUCAAUUAUGAAACAGAAAAGUGAUACUGAUAUGUCAUAUAUAUUGUAUUGUUAAAAUAGUAUAAUGUAUUCUGUUAGUAUUUUGAAGUGAAUAUAUUUAAAAGUAGAAUAAAAGAUAAUAUAAAUU